rnacentral:rRNA from 1 species
GACAGAGGGUGCAAACGUUGCUCGGAAUUACUGGGCGUAAAGCGCGUGUAGGCUGACCGGAAAGUCGGGCGUGAAAUCCCUGGGCUCAACCCAGGAACUGCACUCGAAACUCCCGGUCUUGAGUGGUGGAGAGGGAAGUGGAAUUCCUGGUGUAGAGGUGAAAUUCGUAGAUAUCAGGAGGAACACCAGUGGCGAAGGCGGCUUCCUGGACACCAACUGACGCUGAGGCGCGAAAGCCAGGGGAGCGAACGGG